GCAGGAAUGGGUUGGGAGGAAUGCUAGAACCCUGAAUUGUCUAUUGGGACAGACACAAGCUGGAAGGAACCCGUGCCUCUGGGUGCAUGGAGGAAACAUAAUGAGAUGAGGACUCCAAACCACAGGCUUCCUUCCAAGGAACACACCUGUAGCAUCCCUUCCCCACUGUGAUAGACUGCAUCCCCUCAACUUGGAGGCAAAAUAAUCCUCCCGUUUUACGUCAUCCUCACAGCAAUGAAAUAUGAGCUUAAUAUAGAUGUUGUAUUGUCUUAUGCUUAUUAUAACUUAAUAAAACUCAAUAGAGACUCAAA
rnacentral:lncRNA from 1 species